rnacentral:misc_RNA from 1 species
AAGAUGAAGGCCAUGAACCGCUUCUUCGAGGAAGGCGACAAGGUCAAGGUGACGCUGAAGUUCCGCGGCCGCGAAAUGGCCCACCAGGAACUCGGCAUGAAACUUCUGAUGCAGGUCAAGGACGACACCCAGGAAAUCGCCAAGGUGGAAGCCGAACCCAAGCUCGAAGGCCGCCAGAUGAUGAUGGUGCUUGCGCCGAAGUGAUCGGCGGAGCCUGAUAGACCAGACACGCUUGGUGAAGCCGCCCCGGGAGGAGUUCGUGGGGCGGCUUUCCUUUUUGGCAAGGCUUACGCGCGAGCGGCCUCCGGA